rnacentral:rRNA from 1 species
AUGAACGCUGGCGGCGUGCCUAAUACAUGCAAGUCGAGCGAACAGACGAGGAGCUUGCUCCUCUGACGUUAGCGGCGGACGGGUGAGUAACACGUGGAUAACCUACCUAUAAUACUGGGAUAACUUCGGGAAACCGGAGCUAAUACCGGAUAAUAUAUUGAACCGCAUGGUUCAAUAGUGAAAGACGGUUUUGCUGUCACUUAUAGAUGGAUCCGCGCCGCAUUAGCUAGUUGGUAAGGUAACGGCUUACCAAGGCAACGAUGCGUAGCCGACCUGAGAGGGUGAUCGGCCACACUGGAACUGAGACGCGGUCCAGACUCCUACGGGAGGCAGCAGUAGGGAAUCUUCCGCAAUGGGCGAAAGCCUGACGGAACAACGCCGCGUGAGUGAUGAAGGUCUUCGGAUCGUAAAACUCUGUUAUUAGGGAAGAACAAAUGUGUAAGUAAAUAUGCACGUCUUGACGGUACCUAAUCAGAAAGCCACGGCUAACUACGUG